rnacentral:rRNA from 1 species
UACGUAGGGGGCAAGCGUUGUCCGGAUUUAUUGGGCGUAAAGAGCGUGUAGGCGGUUCGGUAGGUCCGUUGUGAAAACUCGAGGCUCAACCUCGAGACGCCGAUGGAAACCAUCGAACUAGAGUCCGGAAGAGGAGAGUGGAAUUCCUGGUGUAGCGGUGAAAUGCGCAGAUAUCAGGAGGAACACCGGUGGCGAAGGCGGGUCUCUGGGCCGGUACCGACGCUGAGGAGCGAAAGCGUGGGGAGCGAACAGG